rnacentral:rRNA from 1 species
AACGAACGCUGGCGGCAUGCCUAACACAUGCAAGUCGAACGAGACCUUCGGGUCUAGUGGCGCACGGGUGCGUAACGCGUGGGAAUCUGCCCUUGGGUUCGGAACAACAGUUGGAAACGACUGCUAAUACCGGAUGAUGACUUCGGUCCAAAGAUUUAUCGCCCAGGGAUGAGCCCGCGUAGGAUUAGCUUGUUGGUGAGGUAAAAGCUCACCAAGGCGACGAUCCUUAGCUGGUCUGAGAGGAUGAUCAGCCACACUGGGACUGAGACACGGCCCAGACUCCUACGGGAGGCAGCAGUGGGGAAUAUUGGACAAUGGGCGAAAGCCUGAUCCAGCAAUGCCGCGUGAGUGAUGAAGGCCUUAGGGUUGUAAAGCUCUUUUACCCGGGAUGAUAAUGACAGUACCGGGAGAAUAAGCCCCGGCUAACUCCGUGCCAGCCGCCGCCGUAACAC